rnacentral:lncRNA from 1 species
GGUGGGGGCGGGACUUCUGGGGUCGGACCAUUGCUUCAUUGUACUGCCUUUAUGUCGGCACUUCGUGGAGGGACGUAGUUGCUGGGCUGUGGACAGCAUCCAGGAGGCUCCCCGCCCGCGGAAACGGGAGUAGGGUAGGUACGAGAACCUGGGAGGUCCAGCCGCUGUGCCUUGUACGCCCCAUGACCGCAGCGAACGUCCCGCCUCCCCGAGCUCGUGUGUCCUCGGCUGUCGGGGGACCGCCUGGCGCCGGGGUGCCUUGCGGUUAUCUCCGUCAAGGCCCGUCUGUGUCCGUGGCCGCCCCGGAGUCGUCGCCCUGUACGUUGUGUCCGCUUUACGGAGAAGAAGACCCAGGCUCAAAAGCCAGCCAUUCUGAGGUCUUGACCCAGCAUGUAGCUGGACUGCAGGCGUGAUAAGCGAGCCGAUCGACUAGGCACGGAUGAGGUAGAGUCUCCUGACCUCCACCUGGCUGGACUCCGAACCCCAGUGCCCCAAGUCCCUGACUCAGCCUCAGGCCUGGGUGUUCAGGACAGUGGAACGUUGACAGGUAAGGGGUCUCCCUUUAAGAAUCCAGUGUGAUAAAAUGUGGAGCGUGCAGGCGGAGGAAUGUGCAUGUGCGAAGACUCGGAGGUGAGACUGACCUGAGAGCAUUCAGGAAAGUUUUCCAGUCUCCGUUGGUAACCGAGGGCGUGAGGGUAGGAGUCCUACCUCUGUUGACGGGCUGAGGAUGCUGGGAGCCACAGAAAUUUUUCAUUAGAAGAUGGAUGGCCGUGAUCUGACUCAGGAUUUUGAAACUAUCCCAGUGGAUCCCGCGUAAACACACUGAGCAGCCUUGUGGGAGAGGGGUUGUGGUGGGGCUGAAAGCAGGCAGCUUCAUGAGGUUGCUGCUGCAGGUAUAUGUCGGGUGACCUGCGCAGAAUAGAAGCAGGAGAGGUGGGAGAGAUACUCAGAUUCUGGAUGUGUCUUUCAAAGUGGAGUUGAUGGGGCCUCCAGUUACACGUGGAGAGUGAACGUAGUGGAGGGUAAAGGACCACCCAAAGUGUUCAGAUAAAGAAUGAGAUGGAGAUCGGAGGUUGGCAGGAGGAGUACGUUUGGGGGAAGAUUAACAGUUGGAUUUUGUACGGGUAGAGACUGAGUUGUCUGGAGGCCUCUAGGUGGAGGUGACACAUGUGCCCGUGAACAGAUAGGGGAUUUUGAUUUGGCCUCCUGAUUUCCAGACUGCAGUGCACUGGUGGCCUGGACCAGGGAAGAUGCUGAGAAUGGGAUUUUGGAAGGAAACUCUUAGGUUGUUACAGAUAGGCCUUGAGGUGAGUGUGGGGUGUCCAGACUAAGGACCAGUAGCUGAGUAGAUGAGGUGGGUGCAGAAAAAGAGAAGCAUUGUCCAAACACCAAUGGACAUGGGGAGAGUGCGUACCCAGGAGGACGGCCCAUGCUCUCAGAUACGAAAGGGUGGUCAGGUGUGUCAGGGGACAGGGUUUGGGAGACAUAAGGGGAAGUGUGUGGCAGGACAGAGACUGGCGUGUCAGGUCCAGUGCCCGAUGCUUAGAGCACAUUCAUGUGCUCCUUGCCUGCUGUUGCAGGACCCAGUGACCUUUGAGGACAAGGUCGUGUGCCUUUUUUUCGGAAGAAGUGGGUCUCCUUAGUGAGGCCCAGUGGGGCUUCUGCUGUGAUAUGGUGCUGUCUUCACCAGGUCAGGCUGCCAGUUUCCCUGUGAGAGGUGCUGCUGGCCCUAGUGCUGUCCAAUGUUCUGCUACCUCUCCUCCCAGACUACUGUAUAAACAACCCCCAACACCUUUUGCCUUGGGACCUUGACAACUGUGGUCCAAGGUCAAAAAUAUCACAACCCGAGUAGCCGAUCACAUCCAGCUUGGUUAUUUUCUGGUCCGAUGAACCAGUCAGGGUCUGUGACUUUUUGGUCCCUCUAUCACACCUCCUCCAGUGGAAGUUUCCUGCCAGCUGCCCCUUGUCAGCGCCUUUACUGGCUUUAUGGGCACUAACAUGGCCAUUGAUUCAGGGGCCACUGAGCAUUUCUAGUGAGGCCUUCCCGGGGUGUUCAUUUUGUGAGGUUCAGUUCUCCCAGAUGCGUAAGUAAUCCCCAUCCACCUUGGUCUGUCAUGGGGUGAAUCAACCCUGACCUGGGGCUGGCUGACCUCUCACAAACGCCUUGAUCCCCCUUAAGAAUUACUGUCUCCACCCACCCCAGUGCGGUCACCCAACUUGAACAUCGAAAGGGGACCUGGCUGGUGGACAGGGUGGCUCGAAUCAGUUCAUGACCAGACACCCACGGAAGACCAGUCCUGGUGAGUGCAAGACAGGUGUGGAAGGGCCUGUGGCAGUGGGCUGAUCUCUUACCUGGUGCCUGACCUGUGUCUUCUGUUGCCCUGGCAUCAAUGUGAGCACCCAUGCCUCUUCUAUCUUUCUGACACCCCUUCCUAAUUUCCCCUGACUUCCUGUCCCCUGGCUAACCCCUCUUGGUCCUUUGCCUCUCAGCCUCUCUCUUUCUCCCCUCUUAUGGCCAGGUCCUCCAUCACUGGCCUCCCCUUCACAUAUCCUUAAAUAGUUCUUGAAAACCUGUUCUUCCAUGAACCUGACUUGUUCCCACUGAGGAAGGUGGGCACAGUGUCAGGGGUCCCAGGCCUGGACUCCGCUCACUGCACAGCACCUGUCUGUCACCAGACACUGAGGCCCUGCCAGCUCCCCAAACUGCAGAAUCCACAGAGAGCUGACACUGAAAGAGACACCUGAUCAAUGCACAGCAAAUGGAGAGGUGUUCAAGGAGAGGUGUUCCCUUUUCUACCACCAAAAAAAACCUUAAGAAUGGGAAAAAAAAUCCCAAGUGCAUUUUGAAGGCCUUCACCUUUGUCUCCAUCCUGAGAAAGCAGGAGUACAUUCACACCUUUGAAUGUUACAUGAGAAAGCCUCCAGCCAGACCUCUGUUUCCAUCGAGCACCAAAAUAUUUGCCCCAUAGAAAGCCCUUAUGAGGGCUUCCCUGGUGGCGCAGUGGUUGAGAAUCUGCCUGCCAAUGCAGGGGACACGGGUUCGAGCCCUGGUCUGGGAAGAUCCCACAUGCCGCGGAGCAACUAGGCCCGUGAGCCACAAUUACUGAGCCUGCGCGUCUGGAGCUUGUGCUCCGCAACAAGAGAGGCCGCGAUAGUGAGAGGCCCGCGCACCGCGAUGAAGAGUGGCCCCCGCUUGCCGCAACUAGAGAAAGCCCUCGCACAGAAACGAAGACCCAACACAGCCAUAAGUAAAUAAAUAAAUAAAAAUUACAAAAAAAAUGUCUCUGCUUAGGCUUACUAAAUACACUGAAAGGAAACACAAAAUCAAUGUUAGCU